AGAGUUGAUCCUGGCUCAGAACGAACGCUGAGCGGCGUGCUUAAUACAUGCAAGUCGUGCGAGAAAGUCACUUCGGGUGGUGAGUAAAGCGGCGAACGGGUGAGUAACACGUAAGAAACCUGCCCCUAAAUCCGGAAUAAGAUUGCUAACGCGGUGCUAAUACCGGAUGUGGUCUCCAGUUUGCAUGAACAGGAGAUUAAAGGUGACCUCUACUUGUAAGUUAUCGUUUAGGGAUGGUCUUGCGGACCAUUAGCUUGUUGGCGGGGUAACGGCCCACCAAGGCUGCGAUGGUUAGCCGGCUUAAGAGGGUGAUCGGCCACAUUGGGACUGAGAUACGGCCCAGACUCCUACGGGAGGCAGCAGUAGGGAAUUUUGCGCAAUGGACGAAAGUCUGACGCAGCAACGCCGCGUGAGCGAUGAAGGUUUUCGGAUUGUAAAGCUCUGUUGAGUGGGAAGAAAACUCUCCGGGAUAAUACCCCGGAGACUUGACGGUACCACUCGAGGAAGCCCCGGCUAAAUACGUGCCAGCAGCCGCGGUAAUACGUAUGGGGCAAGCGUUGUUCGGAAUCACUGGGCGUAAAGGGAGUGUAGGCGGAAAGGUAAGUUAGAAGUGUAAUCCACGGGCUUAACCCGUGACUCGCUUUUAAUACUGCUUUUCUUGAGUAUGGGAGAGGGAGAUGGAAUUCCAGGUGUAGCGGUGGAAUGCGUAGAUAUCUGGAAGAACACCAGUAGCGAAGGCGGUCUCCUGGCCCAAUACUGACGCUGAGGCUCGAAAGCGUGGGGAGCGAACAGGAUUAGAUACCCUGGUAGUCCACGCCGUAAACGAUGGACACUAGAUGUUGGCCUCUUCGGAGGUCGGUGUCGUAGCUAACGCGUUAAGUGUCCCGCCUGGGAAGUACG
rnacentral:rRNA from 1 species